AUAAAUAUACAAAGUCACCUUUCAUUGUGCUCAAGUGCUAGGGAAGGGCAAACAGUUCACCUUCCCUCCUGCACCCACCCAUUUACAUCAUAAUUACUCCCCUGGUGACAGCCAACAGGGUUAGAGAGGCCAGCAAGCAGGACAGUCCCCAGACAGAAAUGUUUCUCUCUCCCUGAAAGGAGAAUCCCAUUAAGGGAGGGUCACUUGGGACUCAUGGUGGGAUUUCUAUUGCCCUUCCUGACUGCCAUCCCCCCCCCACCCCCGCCAAGGAGCAAAUAGAAGGACUCAGGUUACAAACAGAUGAGGCGCAAAGGUUAAACAGCUUGCCUGAGAUCAUGCAGCAAUUAGUAGCAGAGUUCUGAGUCUAUCGGAGUGGGCUUGACACUACACUUCAAGCACUGUGUUGAGGCAAUGCCAGUCAGGCAGGAUAGGGCACCAAAUGAUUUUUUUUUUAACUUAAGAGCUGGUAUAACCUGGAGGUUAUACAGAACAUGGUGUGUUGUUUUGCAAUCUGGAUGCUGGAGAGAAGCAGAGUCAAUCUGGAAAUAAAAGAUAUUUAAUUGAA